AUCUCAAAGCCCAAUAUGGGUUCGCUAUAAGGAUCCAAAAACAGGUCUGUGGGGAGGUCCCAGCAAAGUACUCUAUUGGGGACGUGGUUAUCUUUAUGUGUCUACCCCCACAGGGCCUGUCUGGGUGCCGAGCCGAUGGACUAAACCUGCUGAUCCCAGUGAUUCACCUUCAGCUGAUCCAGAAAAUUUAGCAGAUACUUCUCGCUCUCUACCAUCAACAUAGAGACGGGAUCUGAUGAACUCUCACAUGAAAAUUUUGUGUACAGUACCGAAUUGUGAAUGCUAUCCUUUUGUAUGUUACAUUUGUAAAGUGUGUAAAGAAAAGUGGUGGAUACAUUCUAAGUGGGGUCGAUCUCCAAGAGGGAUUUGUACAGAGUGUUAUAACUUUGAAAGAAAUUUAACUGAGAUUGCAUUACAGGAAGGUGUGCAAACAGGACAAUUUGAAAAAGGAUCUGAUAGAUGGUGGGAGAUUUUUGCUUUUGGCAUAAAUCCAGAAAAUUAUUGUUAUCAUCCUAAUACCCCUUUACCAUAUAUUAUUGAAAUAACCACAAUACGUUGUCGCAAGACACUGACACAGGUGAGGUGUGAUAUUCCAGGGGUAAAAGAAAAGGGAAGCAAGAUCUCACAUGGGAUCCAGCCAAGAUGCUGGCUGAACUGCCGCAAUCCUUUUGAAGUCCUUAAAGGACUACCUCUGAUCAGGUUGUUGUUGUGGUUUACUAUAAUAGAGGGAAAUGAAGGAUUUUUGAUUGACAUGGAUGAAAGACAAAAUAUGUGGGUAACGUGGGCUAAUCAAACUGGACAGGAUACUUUUUGCCUUUCAAUGGCUACCCCUUCGGAUCCUUUUCAAACUUGUUUAGUGGGCGCACCUUUGGAUGAUUCAUUCAAUGCCACAAUGUUUAAAAACUGGACAAAGAAUUGGAAAACACCCAAGGAAGCAAACAAAACAUUAUGUGAAAUUCCAUCAGGUAAAUUAAUGAUCAAUAUCUGUGACACAGGUUUA
rnacentral:lncRNA from 1 species